GCUUAGCUGAGAUCAAAAGAAACUGCCCAGCUGACCUGCAGACUCAUGAGCAGAAUAAAUGGUUGUUAUUUUAAGCUACUAGAUUCUCCUUGAACUCUAAGCCUGGAGGCUUUAGUGAUUCAGGCAGGAGAGGUUAGGUUCCUGACUUCUUUAGCAAGAGAUAGGUUUGAGCAUUAGGCAUUGUUGAGAAGGGAGAUUUUUCUAAAUUUCUUUAGUUGUUUUUUUUUCAUAGCAAAAGCCAGUUUCCCUAGACUUUCUCUUAUUUAGUAAAAAAAGAAAUACUUAUCCCCAUCUAGGCUUAGCCUCAAAGCUGGAAUUGAGAAGGAGAAUAUGACACAGAGAAAGCCUGUCCCUUCUGGUGAGAUGUUUGAGGGGAUAAGAGGAGUCAGACAGAGUGAGAGACUGAGGAAGAAAAAGAAGCCCUUUGGACAUGUAGGUCCUGGAUAUUCUGUCUCAUGAAGAUGAGGAACAGCAUUAGAGGACGCUGUGCAGAUCUGAGUGGUAGUAGCCGGGGAUUCAGGUCUUCUUCUAUCUCUCCAUUGAUGGCUCUGGAGUCUGUAAUGCUCCUCUGGUUGUCUUCACUGAUGGAUGGAUCUUCACACCAAGAUUUGGGCGAUUUAUACAAUGUGAUGGGAACACAGUAUAAUCUUUAUAGUGCUUCUCUUCUAAGAGCUUCUAAAAAACCCCACUUCCUGCUGCACAGCAGCUGGCCAUUUUGAUGAAGACUUCAUCCUGUGAUGCUACUACCUGGAUCAUCUAAGUCUCACUCUGUUGCCCAGCCUGGAUUGCAGUGACAUGAUCACAGCUCACUACAACCUCAACCUCCCUGGGAUCAAGCUAUCCUCCCAUCUUAGCUUCCCAAGUCAUUGGGACUACAGGGAAUGUGCCGCUGUGCCCAGCCAAACUGGAUCUUCAGUAUGUUUAUGUAACUUUCCGGGAGCAGAGUGUUUUCAGCUUUGGAGCUUCAAUCGAACUUUUGAGACAAGAAGAGGAAAGACAAGAAAAGUGUCUUCUUCACAAUUUUAUUAUUUUGGUGUCAAAGAUUCCAGUUGAUUAUCCCUUUCUAUCUCCAAAGUCUGGCAAACCCUACUUACCUCCCCAACUGCUUUCGAAAGCAUAAACAAAAUAAAAUAACAUCAUCAAAGAUUCCAGAAGAUUGGGAAAGGUGUGGAAGGUAGUGAUUAAAGUAUAGUUGUAAGGGCCCUUUGACAUCAAUUUUAUUCUCUCAGGGGGCUUAAAGUGUUUCUUUUCUGCUUCCUUUACUACAAAGAUAUUUCACUCAAACUCUAUCUUGUUAUAGACUCUUGAAAACUGGGGAUAUGGUUUCUAGCCUUGUAAUUUGUGUAAUAAAAUGUCAGUCAUAAAAACCACUGGGAAUCUGGGACAUUUGUAAUGAUUGGGCUGUCGUUAAAAUACAUGAUUGCUCAAAGGUAUGGCUUAACCCAGGAAAACACAAACCACAAUAAAAGGUCACAUGGAAGAUACAGGCAUGGGCAGGCAUCACUUGGUGGCAAGCAACAGAAAUCCCUUAAGAAAGCGCGAGUGAAAAGCAAUUUAUUUCAGGGGACUCUGAUGGUAUUUUGAAGAAGGUAUAACUCCUGGAACUGGAAAGCUUUGAGAUACUUAUCUCUCUCUCUCUCUCUGUCUCUGCCUCUCUCUUUCUCUCUGCCUCUCUCUG
rnacentral:lncRNA from 1 species